UACGGAGGGUGCAAGCGUUGUCCGGAAUCACUGGGCGUAAAGGGCGCGUAGGCGGCUCAUGAAGGCUGUGGUGAAAGCGCGGGGCUCAACUCCGCGUCGGCCAUUGAUACUGCUGGGCUGGAGCACUGUAGAGGCAGGCGGAAUUCCGGGUGUAGCGGUGGAAUGCGUAGAGAUCCGGAAGAACACCGGUGGCGAAGGCGGCCUGCUGGGCAGUUGCUGACACUGAGGCGCGACAGCGUGGGGAGCAAACAGG
rnacentral:rRNA from 1 species